rnacentral:rRNA from 1 species
AUACCUGAUGUGUUUAGCGGCAUAAGCCGCUAUAAGUAAAGAUGGUUCGUAAGAGUUGUCGCUUAGAGAUGAGCUCGCGUCCUAUCAGCUAGUUGGUGAGGGUAACGGCCCACCAAGGCAAUUGACGGGUAGCUGGCCUGAGAGGGCGGUCAGCCACACGGGGACUGAGACACUGCCCCGACUCCUACGGGAGGCUGCAGUCGAGGAUCUUUAACAAUGGGCGAAAGCCCGACUAUGCGACGCCGCGUGAGGGAUGAAGGUUUUCGGAUCGUAAACCUCUUUCAAUAGGGAAGAAAACUCUGCUUAACAAGCAGAACUGACGGUACCUAUAGAAGAAGCCACGGCCAACUCCGUGCCAGCAGCCGCGGUAAUACGGGGGUGGCGAGCGUUACUCGGAUUUAUUGGGUGUAAAGGGCAAGUAGGCGUCCCGAAAAGUUAGGAGUGAAAUCCUUUGGCUUAACCAAAGAACUGCUCCUAAAACUGGCGGGAUUGAGGCUGGAAGAGGAGAGCGGAAUUCCCGGUGUAAGGGUGAAAUCUGUAGAUAUCGGGAGGAACACCAGUGGCGAAAGCGGCUCUCUGGUCUAGAUCUGACGCUGAAUUGCGAAAGCUAGGGUAGCAAACAGGAUUAGAUACCCUGGUAGUCCUGGCCGUAAACAAUGAGCACUAGGUGUUGAGAGUUUACUUUCAGCGCC